rnacentral:lncRNA from 1 species
AAUUGAGAUACAGACCGCGAAUCGUUAGUGGAUUGUGGGUGGUGGAAAAAGUGCACAGCUGGAAAAGCGAAAUCUUUUUCGCCUGAACUUUGGGACACUUCCGGGGACUUCCCCCCGCAGUCUUUCUUCGAAACACUUGAGGCUAUCGUUGUGACUCAAUAGGUAGCCAACAGUCUUGACUCAACUUUCGGCAUCAGCUUAUAACCAAUCGCCCCCAUUCAACGCAGGCCAAGCUCCAGUGCCCGCCAUCAAAACGCCCAUUUCAAGCUGCCCCCUUACUCCCUUGGCACUUUCACAAAAUCCACCAAAGAAUACGCCAAACGCUUUCGGGAACGGAUGAGCAAAUAUUGAAUUUUGUGGCUGACAAUCGUUGGCACUUGUGGCUGUAGCUGGCCACAGGUAGCUGGUGCCAGUAGCGGUACGUAUAUUUUCCUUUCGUUACACUUUUCCUUUUUUGCGAUCUACAAAUAUUUGACUUUCGAUGAAAGUCAAUGCAAACGUGCAGGCAGCCUGACCCCAAU